AUUUAUACGGAUGGCUGGAGACUGAAGUCUUCUGUGCACUCACAGAACAGGUAUAACUUUAGUGGCAGCAGUGCAACCUUCCCAGCUAGCUGCCCUGCCAGUGUGCCUCCUGCCUGACCCAGGAAAGGGGCAUGCAGGGAUUUUCUUCUCAGUAGUAUGGAAAAACUUUUUUUUCU
rnacentral:sRNA from 1 species